rnacentral:lncRNA from 1 species
UACAUCUGCAGAAAUCGGAUCUGCAUUUGUUAAAUACUAGAGUACACAGUAUUUGGUGAGAUCUUUUACAAUUAAACUACAGUAGUCAAUUUGCAUGAUAUAAAUGAUAUAUGUGAACUCAAUGAUGCUAUUGUGAUUUGAUUAUUCAAAGAAAUUGAAUAAAGUGUUUAAUUGUGAUAGAAGCACGUUUUAGGAAAUUUCAUUUUUCUGUAAUCUGAUUGAUUGAUACCAAUAUUUUGGAAAUCUGAAAUUGAUCCUUUCAUGUUAUUGUGUUUUAGUCAGUGCAUAUUAUACAACUGUUUGUUUGUCAUUUCUGGUCAACUUACUUGUUAGUUGUUAAUUAUCUGCAAAACUUAUUUUUCAAAACUUUUUCUGUAACUUAAGUGAUUUCUUGAAUUAAAUCACUUAUGUCCUCAAGUAAUAACCCUUUUAUAGAACCCGCAAUGGGUUCGAAGGUCAAAUUGAGUCAAUUCGAUGGAAAGGGUGACUACUCUAUAUGGAAACAAAAAAUGAGGGCCAUUUUGGUCUGGUAGAGGGUUGCAAAAGCCCUCGACGAUCCCGAAAAGUUUCCUGAUGAAUUGAAAGCUAAGCCUACUAAAAUUGAAGAUAUAAAUGAAAUAGCAUAUAGUUCAAUCAUAUUACAUUUGUCUGAUAACAUAGUAAGACAAGUUGAAGAACAUAAAACUGCUCGAGCCCUGUGGGAAGCACUAGAUGCUUUGUUCUUAACUAAAACACUACCUAAUAAGAUCUACCCGUUGGAGAAAUUGUUUAACUUCGAAAUGGAUCCUGGAAAAGAUGUAGAAUCUAAUCUUAGUGACUUUAGCAUUCUUGUCAAGAGUCUUUCCCACAACGAUAAGAAAUUCGAGGAUGAAGAUCUGGCUGUGAUUUUUCUAAAUUUACUAGCUAAAUCUUAUAAAGAUAUCCAAAAUGCUAUAAAAUAUUCAAGAGAUGCUUUAACACAAACGAUUGUAACAAAUGCCCUAAAAUUUAGGGAGUUGGAGGUUAAAAUGGAAUCGAGAACUAAUUCCAGAUAGGAGAACCUAUUUGUAAGAGAGAGAAUUGAAAAAAGAGACAACCAUUCAUUGAAUAAGAAGUUCAAAUCAAAAUCCAAAGCUAGGUCCAAGUUAAAAGAUAAAAGCAACAAAAAAUGUUUAUCACUAUGGAAAACUUGGACACUUCAAAAGGGACUGCUUUGAAUUAAAGAAUAAGUUAAAAGAACCUAAUAACAGUGAGUUGAAUAAUGCCGCUGUAAGUCCAGAACUUGACAGCCUUCUUGUUAUGACUAUGUCUAACAAUGAAACACACACGGACUGGAUACUUUACUUUGGAUGUACCUUUCACAUGUGCCCAAAUAAAACUUGGUUUCAUAACUACAAAGAGAUAGAACCUAGGAAAUUAUAUAUGUGUGAUAAUAAUUCACAAAAUGUUCUUGGAAUUGGUGACAUUACAAUCAAAAUAUACAAUGGUAUUGUUAGGCAGAUUAAAAAUGUAAGACAUGUUCCAAAUCGAAAAAUGAAUCUUAUUUCACUGGGAAUUCUCGAAGAUGAGGGACAUACUUUUAAAUCUAAAAAUAAUACUUUGAAAAUUCUCAAAGGAUCUCUUGUAGUUAUGAAGGGACCAAAAAGAAAUGGUUUGUAUUACUUGAUGGGAGAGAUUGUCAAUUCCCAGGAUUCGAAAUCCUUAACCAUAACUGAAAGUAAAUCUGAAUUGUGGCAUUGUAGGAUGGGACAUAUUGGUAAUAAGGGUUUAAAAUAUCUAAAUGAUCAAAAAUUACUUGGAAAAGAUAAAAUAGAGCCCCCUAACUUUUGUGAGACAUGUGUACUUGGAAAGUCUCAUAGAGUCAGCUUUGAGACGGGGUCACACUACAAAUAGUCUAGUAGACUAUGUCCACUCAGAUUUGUGGGGUCUAGAAAGCCACUCGACUUUUGGUGGGAACAAAUAUUUUCUUUCUAUAAUUGAUGUCUAUUCUAGAAAGGUCUCGACAUAUCCCUUAGAAGUAAAAUCUGAAACAUUUCAAAAAUUCAGAAUGUCGUUAACGAUGAUUGAAAAUCAAUUGGGCAGAAAAUUGAAAACCUUAAGGACAGAUAAUGGGUUGGAAUUCUGUAAUACAGAAUUUGAUAACUUUUGCAAACAAAAGGGAAUAGUCAGACAUAAAACUGUUAAACAUACAUCCCAACAGAAUGGGGUCGCUAAAAGAAUGCACAGAACUCUUAUGAAUAAAGUUAGAUGUAUGCUGAUAAGUUCUGAUUUAGCAAAAGGUUUUUGGGCAGAAGUUUUAUGCACUACAGCCUAUCUGAUAAAUAGGUCACCCUGCAGUUCUGUAGAGUUUAAAAUCCCUCAGGAACUGUGGACUAGAAAGCCACCUAAUCUGUCAAACAUCAGGGUCUUCGGAUGUGCUGCAUAUACACAUCAGGUUGAAGGGAAAUUAGACCCCAGGGCUACCAAAUCUCUGAUUAACAAUAAAACAUAGAAACUUGUUAAGAAACCAAAGAAUCAAAGAGUGGUACAAUGCAAGUAGAUUUAUAAACUCAAAGAAGGCAUUUUCCCCCACUGACCCUUUGAGGUAUAAGGUAAGGCUAGUGGCCAAGGGGUUCAUCCAAAUGAAAGGAAUUGAUUACAAUGAAAAUUUUUCACCUGUGAUCAAAUAUAAAACUAUAAGGCUAAUACUUGCUUUAGUUGUUCAGUUUAAUUGAGAACUUGUACAAUUAGAUGUCAAAACCGCCUUUUUGCAUGGGGAAUUUGAUGAGGACAUUUAUAUGUGUCAACCUCAAGGUUUCGAGGAAAAGGGGAAAUCUAACUAUGUUUGUAAAUUGGAAAAAUCCCUGUAAGGGCUUAAACAAAGUCCAAGAUAGUGGUAUGUCUUGUUUGACACAUACGUUGUAAAAAUUGGUUUUAGGAGAAGUGAGUAUAAUCAUUGCUUAUAUUAUUACAACUCUAAACCUGGCAGCAAGAUAUAUCUACUCUUAUAUGUAGAUGAUAUGCUGCUGGCCAGUUUAAGCAAGGUUGAAAUAAUAAGAAUGAAGAACCUCCUAAAAUCAGAAUUUGAAAUGAAAGACUUAGGGAAUGUCAAGAAAAUACUAGGAAUGGUGAUAACUAGAAAUAGACAAGAAGACAAGUUAACAAUAACUCAAGAAUCUUACCUGCAUAAAGUGAUAUCAAAAUUUGGCUUGAAAGAGACAAAGUCUGUCAAUGUUCCACUUGCCACUCACAUGAAUCUUUCCUCAGCCCAAUGUCCUAAAACUGAAUCUGAAGUUAAAGACAUGAAAAAUAUUCCUUACUCUAAUGCAAUAAGAUCAGUAAUAUUUUCUAUGAUCACAACCAGACCCGAUCUAGCAUAUUCAAUCAGUUUUUUAAGUAGGUUUAUGGCUAACCCUGGGAAACCACAUUAGGGUGGUUUAAAAUGGCUAUUACGGUAUAUAGCUAAGAUACUAAAGGUAGGUUUAGUGUUCAAAAGGGGAUCAGAACCAUUAACCCUUAAGGGAUACAUGGAUUCUGAUUUUGUAGGAGAUAAGGAUCAAAGAAAGUCUACCACUACUUAUUUCUUUACACUUGGUAAUAAUUGUAUCACUUGGAAGUCUCAACUUCAACCCAUUGUCACUUUAUCCAGUACUGAAACUGAAUAUGUGGCUAUUACUGAAUGUGUUAAAGAAUGUAUAUGGCUCAAAGGAAUUUUAGGUAAACUGAAUUUUCUGUUUACUUCCCCCGUUAUACUUACUGAUAGUCAAAGUGCCUUAUUGUUAAGCAAGAACCCUAUCUAUCAUGAAAUGUCUAAGCACAUUGAGGUGAAGUAUCAUUUUAUAAGAGAAAAACUCUCUUCAGGUGAAAUGGUUAUUGGGAAAAUUCAUACUGACAUUAAUCCAUCUGAUAUGAGCACUAAAAUUCUGCCUGUAAGUAAAUUCAGAACUUGUUUGUCACUUCUCAAUAUUGAUACUGGGUAAUUUUCUUUGCAGUUACCUUGGGCAAUGAUGAUGGUCAGUCUUUCCACAAAUGUGCAAUUCAGCAACUGAGAGAGUGAGUGCAAUUUUGAGAACCAAGGUGAAGAUUGAUGGAGAAAACGUGUUUCUCCAAAUUGCAACUUAUGUGAGGGUAAUCUGGACAUUUUUGGCACUUAAAGUUAGUGGAUGUUACGUGGCAGCUUCUAAUUUGUUCCUUCCAUGUUACUUGGAUCUGUGUUUCUUUUGGCUUUGUGUGGACCGUUCGAUUACUUGAAUGGUGGAGAUCAACCAAGAUUAUUAUCUCUUGGCUUCUAGUGUAUUUGGUUGGAAAAAAGAGACUCCUCAUUUACUGUAUUUUGGUCUCUCGCUUUUCUCUCUCUACUUGGAGACUUUUCUUCUUCCUUCUUGAUUUUUCGAAUCUGGAGACUAUUACUCCUUUGUAUGAUUCUUGUAAAUCUCGUGUGCUAUAGUAACUGGUAGGCAGGUUGUAUAGUCGAUCUGUUGUAUUGUGUAUUUGUGGCCGGUUUGUGAGGAAGCAUAUUAUUGUGUCCAGAUUUGAGAUCCGUUUGGAUCGAUGAUUGAUCUGGUUGUUCUCUUUGAUUAUAUGUACUGUACUCUGCACUAGUGGAUUGGGCUGACACUAAGCCCCCCAAAUUAAGCCAUUUGAGCCAAAUUGGGUGAACAUUUUUC